GGUUAAGUUAGAAAGGGCGCACGGUGAAUGCCUUGGCACUAGGAGCCGAUGAAGGACGGGACUAACACCGAUAUGCUUCGGGGAGCUGUAAGUGAGCUUUGAUCCGGAGAUUUCCGAAUGGGGAAACCCACUGUUCGUAAUGGAACAGUAUCUUUAUCUGAAUACAUAGGAUAUUGAAGGCAGACCCGGGGAACUGAAACAUCUAAGUACCCGGAGGAAGAGAAAGCAAAUGCGAUUUCCUGAGUAGCGGCGAGCGAAACGGAAUUAGCCCAAACCAAGAGGCUUGCCUCUUGGGGUUGUAGGACACUCUAUACGGAGUUACAAAGGAACGAAGUAAAUGAAGCGACCUGGAAAGGUCCGUCGAAGAAGGUAACAACCCUGUAGUUGAAACUUCGUUCCCUCUUGAGUGGAUCCUGAGUACGGCGGAACACGUGAAAUUCCGUCGGAAGCUGGGAGGACCAUCUCCCAAGGCUAAAUACUACCUAGUGACCGAUAGUGAACCAGUACCGUGAGGGAAAGGUGAAAAGCACCCCGGAAGGGGAGUGAAAGAGAUCCUGAAACCGUGUGCCUACAAGUAGUCAGAGCCCGUUAACGGGUGAUGGCGUGCCUUUUGUAGAAUGAACCGGCGAGUUACGAUCCCAUGCAAGGUUAAGCUGAUAAGGCGGAGCCGUAGCGAAAGCGAGUCUGAAUAGGGCGUUUAGUAUGUGGUUGUAGACCCGAAACCAGGUGAUCUACCCAUGUCCAGGGUGAAGUUCAGGUAACACUGAAUGGAGGCCCGAACCCACGCACGUUGAAAAGUGCGGGGAUGAGGUGUGGGUAGCGGAGAAAUUCCAAUCGAACCUGGAGAUAGCUGGUUCUCUCCGAAAUAGCUUUAGGGCUAGCCUCAUGUUGUGAGAGUCUUGGAGGUAGAGCACUGAUUGGACUAGGGGCCCCCAACGGGUUACCGAAUUCAGUCAAACUCCGAAUGCCAAAGACUUAUCCAUGGGAGUCAGACUGCGAGUGAUAAGAUCCGUAGUCAAAAGGGAAACAGCCCAGACCACCAGCUAAGGUCCCCAAGUAUACGUUAAGUGGAAAAGGAUGUGGAGUUGCUUAGACAACCAGGAUGUUGGCUUAGAAGCAGCCACCAUUUAAAGAGUGCGUAAUAGCUCACUGGUCGAGUGACUCUGCGCCGAAAAUGUACCGGGGCUAAACGUAUCACCGAAGCUGUGGAUUGACAUCUUUGAUGUCAGUGGUAGGAGAGCGUUCUAAGUGCAGCGAAGUCAGACCGUAAGGACUGGUGGAGCGCUUAGAAGUGAGAAUGCCGGUAUGAGUAGCGAAAGACAAGUGAGAAUCUUGUCCACCGAAUGCCUAAGGUUUCCUGAGGAAGGCUCGUCCGCUCAGGGUUAGUCGGGACCUAAGCCGAGGCUGAAAAGCGUAGGCGAUGGCCAACAGGUUGAUAUUCCUGUACCACCUCCCCGCCGUUUGAGUAAUGGGGGGACGCAGUAGGAUAGGGUAAGCGCGCUGCUGGAUAUGCGCGUUCAAGCAGUUAGGCUGAUGAGUAGGCAAAUCCGCUCAUCAUAAAGGCUGAGCUGUGAUGACGAGGGAAUUAUAGUACCGAAGUUCCUGAUUCCACACUGCCAAGAAAAGCCUCUAGCGAGGCGGGAGGUGCCCGUACCGCAAACCGACACAGGUAGGCGAGGAGAGAAUCCUAAGGUGAUCGAGAGAACUCUCGUUAAGGAACUCGGCAAAAUGACCCCGUAACUUCGGGAGAAGGGGUGCUCUGGUAGGGUGUAUAGCCCGAGAGAGCCGCAGUGAAUAGGCCCAGGCGACUGUUUAGCAAAAACACAGGUCUCUGCGAAGCCGCAAGGCGAAGUAUAGGGGCUGACGCCUGCCCGGUGCUGGAAGGUUAAGAGGAGGGGUUAUCCUUUGGGAGAAGCUCUGAAUCGAAGCCCCAGUAAACGGCGGCCGUAACUAUAACGGUCCUAAGGUAGCGAAAUUCCUUGUCGGGUAAGUUCCGACCCGCACGAAAGGCGUAACGAUCUGGGCACUGUCUCAACGAGAGACUCGGUGAAAUUAUAGUACCUGUGAAGAUGCAGGUUACCCGCGACAGGACGGAAAGACCCCGUGGAGCUUUACUGUAGCCUGAUAUUGAAUUUUGGUACAGCUUGUACAGGAUAGGUAGGAGCCUGAGAAGCCGGAGCGCUAGCUUCGGUGGAGGCGUCGGUGGGAUACUACCCUGGCUGUAUUGAAAUUCUAACCCGCGGCCCUGAUCGGGCCGGGAGACAGUGUCAGGUGGGCAGUUUGACUGGGGCGGUCGCCUCCUAAAAUGUAACGGAGGCGCCCAAAGGUUCCCUCAGAAUGGUUGGAAAUCAUUCGUAGAGUGUAAAGGCACAAGGGAGCUUGACUGCGAGACCUACAAGUCGAGCAGGGACGAAAGUCGGGCUUAGUGAUCCGGUGGUUCCGCAUGGAAGGGCCAUCGCUCAACGGAUAAAAGCUACCCCGGGGAUAACAGGCUUAUCUCCCCCAAGAGUCCACAUCGACGGGGAGGUUUGGCACCUCGAUGUCGGCUCAUCGCAUCCUGGGGCUGUAGUCGGUCCCAAGGGUUGGGCUGUUCGCCCAUUAAAGCGGUACGCGAGCUGGGUUCAGAACGUCGUGAGACAGUUCGGUCCCUAUCCGUCGUGGGCGUAGGAAAUUUGAGAGGAGCUGUCCUUAGUACGAGAGGACCGGGAUGGACACACCGCUGGUGUACCAGUUGUCUUGCCAAAGGCAUCGCUGGGUAGCUAUGUGUGGACGGGAUAAGUGCUGAAAGCAUCUAAGCAUGAAGCCCCCCUCAAGAUGAGAUUUCCCAUAGCGUAAGCUAGUAAGAUCCCUGAAAGAUGAUCAGGUUGAUAGGUCAGAGGUGGAAGCGUGGCGACAUGUGUAGCUGACUGAUACUAAUCGAUCGAGGACUUAACCAA
rnacentral:rRNA from 1 species